rnacentral:rRNA from 1 species
GACGAACGCUGGCGGCGUGCCUAAUACAUGCAAGUAGAACGCACAGUUUAUACCGUAGCUUGCUACACCAUAGACUGUGAGUUGCGAACGGGUGAGUAACGCGUAGGUAACCUGCCUGGUAGCGGGGGAUAACUAUUGGAAACGAUAGCUAAUACCGCAUAAUAUUAAUUAUUGCAUGAUAAUUAAUUGAAAGGUGCAAUUGCACCACUACCAGAUGGACCUGCGUUGUAUUAGCUAGUAGGUGAGGUAACGGCUCACCUAGGCGACGAUACAUAGCCGACCUGAGAGGGUGAUCGGCCACACUGGGAAUGAGACACGGCCCAGACUCCUACGGGAGGCAGCAGGAGGGAAUCUUCGGCAAUGGACGAAAGUCUGACCGAGCAACGCCGCGUGAGUGAAGAAGGGUUUCGGAUCGGAAAGCUCUGUUGUAAGAGAAGAACGGGUGUGAGAGUGGAAAGUUCACACUGUGACGGUAUCUUACCAGAAAGGGACGGCUAACUACGUG